rnacentral:rRNA from 1 species
UACGGAGGGUGCGAGCGUUGUCCGGAAUCAUUGGGCGUAAAGGGCGCGUAGGCGGCGCGGUAAGUCGGGUGUGAAAUCUCGGGGCUUAACUCCGAAACUGCAUUCGAUACUGCCGUGCUUGAGGACUGGAGAGGAGACUGGAAUUUACGGUGUAGCGGUGAAAAUGCGUAGAUAUCGUAAGGAAGACCAGUGGCGAAGGCGGGGUCUCUGGACAGUUCCUGACGUGAGGCACGAAAGGUCAGGGGGGAGCAAAACGGGG